CCUACGGGCGGCAGCAGUGAGGAAUAUUGGUCAAUGGACGCAAGUCUGAACCAGCCAUGCCGCGUGCAGGAAGACGGCUCUAUGAGUUGUAAACUGCUUUUGUACGAGGGUAAACGCAGGUACGUGUACCUGUCUGCAAGUACUUUACGAAUAAGGAUCGGCUAACUCCGUGCCAGCAGCCGCGGUAAUACGGAGGAUCCAAGCGUUAUCCGGAUUUAUUGGGUUUAAAGGGUGCGUAGGCGGUCGGUUAAGUUAGAGGUGAAAGCCCGAGGCUCAACUUCGGAAUUGCCUUGGAUACUGUGCGGCUAGAGAGCAGUUGCGGUAGGCGGAAUGUAUGGUGUAGCGGUGAAAUGCGUAGAGAUCAUGCAGAACACCGAUUGCGAAGGCAGCUUACCAAGCU
rnacentral:rRNA from 1 species